rnacentral:tRNA from 1 species
GGAGGGGUGGCUGAGUGGUCGAAGGCACACGACUCGAAAUCGUGCAGGGGUGAAAACCCCUCGAGGGUUCAAAUCCCUCCCCCUCCGCCA